UUUUCUCUAUCCUAGUUCCCUUCCCUCUCCCUCACAUCUGAAGCCAACUCCUUCUCCAGAUCUCGCAUCCAUGGUUGACCAUGGAGCUCGGCAAAGGCAAAAUUGGAUUCGCGUCGAUGCUGGGAGUACAGGGAAGGCAGUAAUUUGAAGAUGAUAUCCUGUGGAGCACGAAUUCUGUAAGAGAAAGAACUCAGGUAUCCUGUGGAGCCCGAAAUUUUUAGCUGCUAAUUGGGCAGAGGAUGGUCGGGAUGGGUGCAGCAUGGAGAGGGGACGCGGAGGAGGUCGGCGGCAAACUGUGGUUGGGUAGGCCGUGACGAGUGGUGGGAGGUCGGCGGAGACAGAUCGGAGAAGGAGCUGCGAGAAGGGCAGCGAAGACAGAUCGAGGAAGGAGCUACGAGAAGGGCAGUGGAGACAGAUCGGGGAAGGAGCUGCGAGCUCUGGCGAGAAGGGUGGCGGUGAUCUGUGUCCGGAGGCAGUGGAGGACAGAGAGAGGCGGCCAGCUCCGGCGAGAAGGGCGGUGAGGCACGAGCUCUGCCGUUUUGCAUCGGGUAAGAAAUAGGGAGAGAAAAAUCGCUCUGGUCUUGGCCACAUGGGAUCGAUUACAAUUAAUAGGCGUGUGGGGGUACGAGCCAUGGGUCGUCGUUUACAGAAGAACCGAUUCGUUCGUUUUUGCAAUAAUUAGAAUGGCACGUCAGUUAUAUUUUUAUGUUCCCGAGCCAUGGGACGGGCGCUGGGAGUGCUCUUAGGGAACCAUAGCUGAAAAUAGGAUCCGGAUCCCAUCCGUUGCCCAGUCUCCCUAAAAAAAAGAAAUCGAUCUCCAGUCUUCAUCGGGGCAGGUUCAGCUGCAGGAACCCCACCAUGCACGUCGGGGUUCUUGGAAGCGCCGGUCGCCCGUACCUGGCGAUCUCCACCCUAGCGCCGCUGACCAUCCGCUACUGCCUGACAUGCAUUGUCGGUGGAGCGCUUCAUCGGCAACGCACACGAUCCCCUUGAUGAUGCUCUGUUCGAUCUAGAAUCUUGCCGUCAUUGGAUCUGAAACACUAUUGGAUUUUAUUAAUCCGUCCAAUCUUGCGAGAGCAGCUGUGUUUCAUACCCAGGCAAACGAACAAGAAUUCUAGCAGUCUCGCAUCACCGUGCAAAGCAAUCGCUGCCGGAUUUUUCUAGCCUCUGUUACAGCAUUGGUGCAGUUGCAGCGAAUCUUUGUCAUCUUCCUCAAAAUUGGGAAAUUUUUCUGAUGCAGCAAUUGUCUACAAAGGAGUCCUUCAAAUUCCUACAAAAGGUCAGAUUUACUUAUUGUGUACAUAUUAAUCAGUUUAUUAAUCAUAAGAUAUUUUUCCAAUAUUCAUCAUUUGCAGUUCGCACCUACAUCAUCUGUCAUUCUACCGUACUAUAUAUAAUUUUUGUAACAGGUUCACACAUGUCUUUACCAUGUACAUGUUUAAUUGUCAUCUUUUCAAUGAGAAAGCAAGGUUAUUCAGUGCGUCUCUUCAUGCCCAUCUUGAAGAUCACGGUUUCUUCACUAUUUUGCUUUCUGCAGAUUUUUUGGGUCAAUUAUCAUUGAUUCUGUUUAUUAUCCUCUCACAUUAAUAUUCUCUUAAGAAAUUCAGUUUAUAUCUUGAUAGUAUGAUAUGAAAUUUAUAUUUUACUGGCUAUAUAUACUAGCUAAAUACCCAUGUGUUGCUAUGAUACUGACUAAAUUAGACUAAAAUCAUUAUAAUACAUUAGUUGCACUGUCUAUUUUAUUCUAACUUUGGCGAAAAACAUUAUCCACAUUUCAGUCUUUUGCAAUAGGUUAUUUUUUUUUCUUCCAUUCGACCAAAACAGGUCCGGGUUCAAAAUGAUAACGGACAAAUAUGUUUUAUUGUUUGCAUUAGAAAGAGAUAGGGAGUUUUUUUCUUUUUGACAAUAGAAGGUGGUGAGGAGGUGUUUUGUUUGCAGCAAAAGUAGGUGACGGACCGCCGUCACCAAUUGACUAUUUUAUAAGAGUAAAGAUAACAUAUUUUUCCUAUGGAACAUAUUUUCCCCAUGGAACCAUUGAAAUUUGUCUAUAUUGUUUCAUAUCAAAUUUUAAUAGAAUUAUAUUUUACCAUGAAAUUGUUCACUCACUGGAUUUACUAAAGUUUUCCCUGUUCCUUGAAUCUUUGAUAGCUUCUGAUGUGUUGUUUUCUGAAUUAGUCCAUGGCAGUAUAUUGUGCGAUGACCGUCCAAAAGCAUGUAUCCAACCAAAUAAAUAUUGAAGGGUACUCUAGGUUGCCUUAUAAGAGUACUAUUGCCUAGAACAAUUUUAAUAUAGUAAUAGCUCACACAGCUCCUCGAUGAAAAUCAGUGUUUUUAAUGGUAUUUUGUAGAAACACACCCACAGUUCGACACACAUGUACACUACGACACCACACUUAUCGCCUACAGAAGACCAGGGUCGCGAAGCCUUAGGAUUGAUGAACUCAUCACCUCAUGCCUUUCUAGCAACAGAAACUACAAUCUGUGGCACUAUCAACCCUCCACGACAAACAUCAAAAUGUGCGAGAGUUAUUGUUGUUGACCCAUAUGAUUGGCGAGAAGGAACUAAAGUGAGCUCGGUGCUGCACACCUUACAUAUCUACAACUCAAUUUCUCUCCACCUCUUACGCACUUGACCUCUCGUUUGCUGGGAGAGUUGCUGGCUUUACGGCUGGCUUGCACUUCUAAAGCCUUUGAAGAUUUUAGUCAUGGGUGUGCGCAUGAUUUCUCAGCUGUACUCUAGC